AAUAAAGCGCUCGUGUAUGGCGCAGCACGGAUGGAAUAAAGCGCUGGUGUAUGGCGCAGCACGGAUGGAAUAAAGCGCUGGUGUAUGGCGCAGCACGGAUGGAAUAAAGCGCUGGUGUAUGGCGCAGCACGGAUGGAAUAAAGCGCUCGUGUAUGGCGCAGCACGGAUGGAAUAAAGCGCUCGUGUAUGGCGCAGCACGGAUGGAAUAAAGCGCUCGUGUAUGGCGCAGCACGGAUGGAAUAAAGCGCUCGUGUAUGGCGCAGCACGGAUGGAAUAAAGCGCUCGUGUAUGGCGCAGCACGGAUGGAAUAAAGCGCUCGUGUAUGGCGCAGCACGGAUGGAAUAAAGCGCUGAUGUAUGGUGCAGCACGGAUGGACUUUGAAAACAGCAUGCUAAGUGAAAGAAGCCGGACACAAAAGCUCACAUAUUGUGAUUCCAUUUCUGUGAACUAUCUAAUGUAGACAAAUCCACAGAGACAGGAAGCAGAUAGUGGCUGCCGGGGUCCGGAGGAGAGCAGGCUGGGGAGGAGCUGCUAAUGGAAUGAUGGAAAAAUUCUGGAAUCGACAGGGGUGACAGCUCUGUAACACUGUAAAUGUACCACUGGCCUUCUGUGUCCAUGGGUUCCACAGCCAUGGAUUCAACCAAUCUCAGGUCAAAAAUAUUCGAAAGCAAAAAAAGGAUGGUUGUCUGUACUGAACAUGCACUAAGUUUUUUCGUCAGUGAUCCCCUAAAAGGCCAGGAAGAAUCUGAACAGACAGUAUCUGUGGGAGUCCUGGAACCAAUAGCCCGUGGAUACUGAGGAACAACUGCACUUGAUGUUACUGAACCACACACUUUAAAAAGAUUACUUAGUGAUUACAAAAGGAAAAACACUAACGAUACGGUGGAGAAACCAGCCAGCACCUUCACAGGAGGAUCCUAUCGAAUGUCACCAAGACACUGGGGCACGUGAUAGUGCACACCUCCCGCCAGGAUCCUGAUGGGGACACGGGGCAUCUGGCUGGACCUGCCCAACCUGAACCUACUCACAGGAGCAUUGGCCAUGACCCUCAUGAUGGAUAAGAAAAGGAAUUACACUGUCCUACCACUGUAGCUGUGUGUCUUUCUUCCCUUCUCAGCUGAUGAAAUCAUCAUUCAUCUUUACUUGAGAUCAGGCUUAAGGGACGCCUUUUCCAGGAAGUCUUCCAUGAUUCCAGGCUGGUCUCAGCCCUUUCCCUUUGCCUGGUAUUAAAUGAAUGGUGCAUGUAUUGUAUCUCCCACUGAUUUUAACUUCAUUGAGCACAGAAUUCUACCUCCGGCGUGCAAACCCUCCACUAAAGGGUUUAGUGUAGCUAAAGUAGUGGCUGACAAAGAAGGCCCUAAAUAAUGCCAUUCCCAAGACUUCAGCACUGUCUACAAUGGAAAGAAAGAACAACCAGACAAGAACCGCAGCUUAAUAAGCCAUAACUUCCAAAACAAGUGCCUGUGCUCAUGGACCCCCUGCAGGUCAGCAGGUGGACACAGGCUGCACUGGGAGGAGCCACAGAGGGUGACAAAAGUGGUCACUUUCUCAAGCAGAUUUCCAAAGACCAUAAGAGCACUUUGAUUUUGGACUGAGUGGGCUAUUUUUAAAAACUCCCCAUUAAACAAUUCUUGAAGGCAACAUAUCUGUGCCUGGUAAGGGCAUGACAGUGGGAGCGGACAGCAUGCUUUCUGCACACUUACUUCUGGGGUUAAGU